CAAAGGACAACAUCUAAAAUGGAUGCUAAUACUUUAUACUCCUAUAUAACCAGUUAUAUAGGGAAAGUUUUUUCGGUGUAGAUGAGACUAUAUUGUAUCACUUGUUGGUAAGGUAAAGGCUUACCAAGGCUAUGACGCAUAACUGGUCUGAGAGGAUGAUCAGUCACAUUGGAACUGAACACGGUCCAAACUCCUACGGGAGGCAGUGGGGAAUAUUGCGCAAUGGGCGAAAGCCUGACGCACAACGCCGCGUGGAGGAUGACACUUUUCGGAGCGUAAACUCCUUUCUUUGAAAAAUGACGGUACCAAAGGAAUAAGCACCGGCUAACUCCGUGCCAGCAGCCGCGGUAAUACGGAGGGUGCAAGCGUUACUCGGAGUCACUGGGCGUAAAGGACGCGUAGGCGGAUUAUCAAGUCUUUUGUGAAAUCUAACAGCUUAACUGUUAAACUGCUAAAGAUACUGAUAAUCUAGAGUGAGGGAGAGGCAGAUGGAAUUGGUGGUGUAGGGGUAAAAUCCGUAGAUAUCACCAAGAAUACCCAUUGCGAAGGCGAUCUGCUAGAACUUAACUGACGCUAAGCGUGAAAGCGUGGGGAGCAAACAGGAAGAUACCCUGGUA
rnacentral:rRNA from 1 species